UACGUAGGGGGCAAGCGUUGUCCGGAAUCAUUGGGCGUAAAGCGCGUGUAGGCGGCUUGGUAAGUCUGCUCUGAAAGCCCGGGGCUCAACCCCGGGAGGCGGGUGGAUACUGUCAAGCUCGAGUCCGGAAGAGGAGUGUGGAAUUCCUGGUGUAGCGGUGAAAUGCGCAGAUAUCAGGAGGAACACCGGUGGCGAAGGCGGUUCUCUGGGCAGUUACCUGACGCUGAGGAGCGAAAGUGUGGGAGCGAACAGG
rnacentral:rRNA from 1 species